rnacentral:lncRNA from 1 species
GUACCCAGUGACACCAGUGAAGGCUUGCAAUGAAAUUGUCAUACAUUUCUCAGGAUUGGCAAUGUUAUCAAUUGCUUCUUGGUCCUGGAACUGAUCUGGUUCUAGAUCCUCUGCCAUAGUUACAUCUCCUUCUUCACACAAUUCUACUAAGAACAACUGCUUCUUGGCCUUACACACAUGCCCCAUUACAUACUUUUCAUCACAAA